CCUACGGGUGGCAGCAGUGGGGAAUAUUGGACAAUGGGCGCAAGCCUGAUCCAGCCAUGCCGCGUGAGUGACGAAGGCCUUAGGGUUGUAAAGCUCUUUUGUCGGGGACGCGGUACCCGAAGAAUAAGCUCCGGCUAACUUCGUGCCAGCAGCCGCGGUAAUACGAAGGGAGCUAGCGUUGUUCGGAAUCACUGGGCGUAAAGCGCACGUAGGCGGAUUUGUAAGUCAGGGGUGAAAUCCCGGGGCUCAACCUCGGAACUGCCUCUGAUACUGCGAAUCUCGAGUCCGGAAGAGGUGGGUGGAAUUCCUAGUGUAGAGGUGAAAUUCGUAGAUAUUAGGAAGAACACCGGUGGCGAAGGCGGCCCACUGGUCCGGACUGACGCUGAGGUGCGAAGCGUGGGGAGCAACAGGAUUAGAUACCCUUGUAGUC
rnacentral:rRNA from 1 species